rnacentral:tRNA from 1 species
GCACCCAUAGCUCAAUUGGAUAGAGUAACGCACUACGAAUGCGGAGGUUGGGGGUUCGACUCCCUCUGGGUGUA